CGCCAGCCCGCUCAGAAACUUAAAGGAAUUGACGGGGACCCGCACAAGCGGUGGAUGAUGUGGAUUAAUUCGAUGCAACGCGAAAACCUUACCUACCCUUGACAUGUACGGAACCCUGCUGAGAGGUGGGGGUGCUCGAAAGAGAGCCGUAACACAGGUGCUGCAUGGCUGUCGUCAGCUCGUGUCGUGAGAUGUUGGGUUAAGUCCCGCAACGAGCGCAACCCUUGUCAUUAGUUGCUACGCAAGAGCACUCUAAUGAGACUGCCGGUGACAAACCGGAGGAAGGUGGGGAUGACGUCAAGUCCUCAUGGCCCUUAUGGGUAGGGCUUCACACGUCAUACAAUGGUCGGUACAGAGGGUUGCCAAGCCGCGAGGUGGAGCCAAUCCCAGAAAGCCGAUCGUAGUCCGGAUCGCAGUCUGCAACUCGACUGCGUGAAGUCGGAAUCGCUAGUAAUCGCGGAUCAGCAUGCCGCGGUGAAUACGUUCCGGGUCUU
rnacentral:rRNA from 1 species